GUUCGGAAUUACUGGGCGUAAAGGGCGCGUAGGCGGUGUGUCAAGUCAGGCGUGAAAGCCCCGGGCUCAACCUGGGAACAGCGCUUGAGACUGGCACGCUCGAGUUCGGGAGAGGAUGGUGGAAUACCCAGUGUAGAGGUGAAAUUCGUAGAUAUUGGGUGGAACACCGGUGGCGAAGGCGGCUCACUGGUCCGGUUCUGACGCUGAGGCGCGAAAGCGUGGGGAGCAAACAGG
rnacentral:rRNA from 1 species